rnacentral:rRNA from 1 species
GACGAACGCUGGCGGCGUGCCUAAUACAUGCAAGUAGAACGCAGUUGCGAACGGGUGAGUAACGCGUAGGUAACUGCCUCAUAGCGGGGGAUAACUAUUGGAAACGAUAUCUCAUACAGCAUACUGUGAGAUGGUCAUGCGUUGUAUUAGCUAGUUGGUGAGGGAAAGGGGCACCAAGGCGUCGGGACAUAGCCGACCUGAUAGGGUGAUCGACCACCAUGGGAAUGGGAAACGGGCCAGGACCCUACAGGAGGCAGCAGGAGGGAAUCUUCGGCAAAGGACGGAAGGCUGAACGAGGAACGGCGCGGGAGUGAAGGAGGUUUUCGGAUCUUAAAGCUCUGUUGAUUUGGAAGCGGUAACUACCCAGAAAGGGACGGCUAACUACGUGCCAGCAGCCGCGGUAAUAC